AUGGACUUACUAUGAAGAUGUGUUCUCUUGGUGUGUACAUGGGCUAAAUGUAUGUCUCAUGUUCGUAUGUUCUAUCCGCAUGUUUUGCAUCAGUGUAAGCAAGUCAUGUCUUGUAUUGCCAACUUCAGCGGGUGGAUGUUUCGUCUUCUCUUUCAAUACCACAAGACUGCGGAAGGGAAAGUGAAUUGACUGUCAAAGUAUCGAGGAGCCCUUGUGAAUUUGGUGUAUGUAGCCUUGGAAAUGUCAUAGUCGUUACCACUUCUUUUUCUGAAUGGUUGGUCUCGAUAUGAGUGGAUGUUGAGACAAUGGAGGAUUUCGUGAUUUGUAGGGAGGCUGCAUUGAUGACUUAGCUACAUUAUCUGGUGUAAGUGCAUUUGCUGUGCAUAUACAAUGAGUGGAAGGGAUUUUCUGGGUGGACUUUGGAUCUACAGGCUCUCUUAUUAGAUCCUUGUAGGAACAAAAAUAUUCAUUGCCAAGAACAGUAAGUAGAAUUGUUCCAGAAGUUAGUUCUUAUUUUUAAGCUAUAUUUCCUGGGAAAGCUACUGUUAAAGCUUAUGUUACUCGUUCUUUGAGUGGAUUACACUACGUAAUGUUUAUCUUUAGCUAGGAGUCAUGUACCUCCUGGUUUUAUAUCACAUUUUAUUUUUGCCUUUGACACUGGAAAUGUCUGGGAGACUGUACAUAUAAUUGUGAUGGUAGGCAUAUCAAAAUUGGUGUUACCAUGGGACAUCACAUGGUGUUCAUGUCCUGAACACUGGACAGUGCACAAUAGAGUAUAUACUUUAUCCAAAUUAAAAGGUAGAGAGAGUUCUAUUCAUUCAGAAGAACUGAGUGUCUCGAGAGCAGAUGAAGGUUGAUGUGUUAUAUAUCAUGGUAGAAGGGAGGCUAUUGCUUUUCUCACAUUUAAAUGCAUGUAUACUUGGUGAUUCUAAAGAUAUUGAGAGAUAUAAGACAACUUUACAGGGCUUCGCUUUUCAGUCUCGAGCAUUCAGUUAUUAUGCUUCUUUUCUCGCAUGUCUGUUGGAGAUUUGAGAUUUCAGAAGUCAAAUGUUCCUCCUCCUUUGGCUGACAGAACUAAAGGUUCCUCAAGAAGAGUUUUCAUACGAUCAUCUUGCCUUUAUAAAUUAAUUUAUUUAACACUGUUCCCGAUCUCAAUGGACACAACUAGGCACGACAAGAAAUUGUGCUCUGAUGUGUCAGUAGAGAGCAGUCACUUAUCAGCUUACGCUUUAGUUGUGGGACUUGCUUACAUCGGUUAGUAUGAUUGCAGGUUCUUUUUGUACUCAUUGAUGGUAGUGAGUGGCCAGCAGCGGAUUAUGUUGUGAACAUGGAUGGGCAAGGCAUCAGCACGUCUUACCACAGUACAUCACCAACUGCAGCCAAUUAAUGCUCCUCCUUACACAUUCCUUCAGGCAAUAUUUGGUCAUGAGUACCCUGUAAUUUUGUGACGUAUAAACUUGCUUGGUAUGGUUAACUGCAAUGUCUCUCGCUCAUUGAGACUUUUCUGAUUAUCUAUAACUUGUGGUUCCUUUAAUUUUAUAAUUUUGAUGCAUUCACUUUGGAAAAAGUAUCUGAUCUGAUGCUGUUGUUCCUCUAUUUUCGAAGGUUGGACCGCUUGAUGAGGAGAGAGAAAUCUUCCACUGGGAAACAAUAUCAGUGCCCUUGGCCUUUGCUUUUUGGAAAAUGGAAUUUCAGAGAUUUAAGUCAUGCAAGGAUCUUCCAUAUUUUCUAGAGAAAAAGUGGAGGCUCCGUAGAUGGGAUGAGCAGCAGCAGCAGCAGCAGAGCCAUGCUGUAGUUGACGAAGCCAACACUCACAUUGCAGAGGAUGAGUCGGGAGAUGUACCAAAUGGACAGUUGUGUGUAAUUUGUCCAUGCGGUCCUCCAGAUGUCGCCCAAGAGACCCGUGGUAGUUGACCCUCAAUGACCGUCCCACAGUGACCGUCGACUGUCGGCUCACAUCAACGAAAAUCUGGAGCUACAAUGGGUGUGUUUGGUUUAGAGAGAGACAAUGAACAGUAGAGUAAGGGCAAAACAGGAAUACAAUGUAUUAGUGAGGGCAAAGUUGGUAGGAUUGAAAAAACAUUCAUUGUCCCUAAAUAG